rnacentral:rRNA from 2 species
UACCCGCUGAACUUAAGCAUAUCAAUAAGCGGAGGAAAAGAAACCAACAGGGAUUGCCCUAGUAACGGCGAGUGAAGCGGCAACAGCUCAAAUUUGAAAUCUGGCUCUUUUAGAGUCCGAGUUGUAAUUUGCAGAGGGCGCUUUGGCUUUGGCAGCGGUCCAAGUUCCUUGGAACAGGACGUCACAGAGGGUGAGAAUCCCGUACGUGGUCGCUAGCUAUUGCCGUGUAAAGCCCCUUCGACGAGUCGAGUUGUUUGGGAAUGCAGCUCUAAAUGGGAGGUAAAUUUCUUCUAAAGCUAAAUACUGGCCAGAGACCGAUAGCGCACAAGUAGAGUGAUCGAAAGAUGAAAAGCACUUUGGAAAGAGAGUCAAACAGCACGUGAAAUUGUUGAAAGGGAAGCGCUUGCAGCCAGACUUGCUUGCAGUUGCUCAUCCGGGCUCUUUUGCCCGGUGCAUUCUUCUGCAGGCAGGCCAGCAUCAGUUUGGGCGGUGGGAUAAAGGUCUCUGUCACGUACCUCUCUUCGGGGAGGCCUUAUAGGGGAGACGACAUACCACCAGCCUGGACUGAGGUCCGCGCAUUUAUGCUAGGAUGCUGGCGUAAUGGCUGUAAGCGGCCCGUCUUGAAACACGGACCAAGGAGUCUAACAUCUAUGCGAGUGUUUGGGUGUCAAGCCCGAACGCGUAAUGAAAGUGAACGGAGGUGGGAACCCGCAAGGGUGCACCAUCGACCGAUCCUGAUGUCUUCGGAAGGAUUUGAGUAAGAGCAUGGCUGUUGGGACCCGAAAGAUGGUGAACUAUGCUUGAAUAGGGUGAAGCCAGAGGAAACUCUGGUGGAGGCUCGCAGCGGUUCUGACGUGCAAAUCGAUCGUCAAAUUUGGGCAUAGGGGCGAAAGACUAAUCGAACUAUCUAGUAGCUGGUUCCUGCCGAAGUUUCCCUCAGGAUAGCAGUAACGUAUUCAGUUUUAUGAGGUAAAGCGAAUGAUUAGAGGCCUGGGGGUUGAAACAACCUUCACCUAUUCUCAAACUUUAAAUAUGUAAGAAGUGUUUGUUGCUUAAUUGAACGUACACAUUUGAAUGAAACGUUAUUAG